rnacentral:rRNA from 1 species
GAACGUACGCUGGCGGCACGCCUAACACAUGCAAGUCGAACGAAGUAGCAAUACUUAGUGGCAGACGGGUGAGUAACAUGUAGGUAUCUACCCUUUGGCCUGGAAUAACACGAGGAAACUUGUGCUAAUACCGGAUAAGUCUUUACGGAGAAAGCUUUAUGCACCAUUGGAUGAGCCUGCACUUGAUUAGUUUGUUGGUGGGGUAAUGGCCUACCAAGACUGUGAUCAAUAGCUGAUUUGAGAGGAUGAUCAGCCACAUUGGGACUGAGACACGGCCCAAACUCCUACGGGAGGCAGCAGUGGGGAAUCUUGCACAAUGGAGGAAACUCUGAUGCAGCGAUGCCGCGUGAGUGAAGAAGGCCCUUGGGUUGUAAAGCUCUUUCGUCGGGGAAGAAAAUGACUGUACCCGAAUAAGAAGGUCCGGCUAACUUCGUGCCAGCAGCCGCGGUAAUACGAAGGGACCUAGCGUAGUUCGGAAUUACUGGGCUUAAAGAGUUCGUAGGUGGUUGAAAAAGUUAGUGGUGAAAUCCCAGAGCUUAACUCUGGAACUGCCAUUAAAACUUUUCAGCUAGAGUAUGAUAGAGGAAAGCAGAAUUUCUAGUGUAGAGGUGAAAUUCGUAGAUAUUAGAAAGAAUACCAAUUGCGAAGGCAGCUUUCUGGAUCAUUACUGACACUGAGGAACGAAAGCAUGGGUAGCGAAGAGGAUUAGAUACCCUCGUAGUCCAUGCCGUAAACGAUGUGUGUUAGACGUUGGAAAUUUAUUUUCAGUGUCGCAGCGAAAGCGAUAAACACACCGCCUGGGGAGUACGACCGCAAGGUUAAAACUCAAAUGAAUUGACGGGGACCCGCACAAGUAGUGGAGCAUGUGGUUUAAUUCGAAGAUACGCGCAGAACCUUACCAACACUUGACAUGUUCGUCGCGACUCUAAGAGAUUAGAGUUUUCGGUUCGGCCGGACGAAACACAGGUGCUGCAUGGCUGUCGUCAGCUCGUGUCGUGAGAUGUUGGGUUAAGUCCCGCAACGAGCGCAACCCUCAUUUUUAGUUGCCAUCAUUAAGUUGGGCACUCUGAAAGAACUGCCAGUGAUAAGCUGGAGGAAGGUGGGGAUGACGUCAAGUCCUCAUGGCCCUUACGUGUUGGGCUACACACGUGCUACAAUGGUAUCUACAAAAGGAAGCAAGACUGCGAGGUCAAGCAAAUCCUUAAAAGAUACCUCAGUUCGGAUUGCACUCUGCAACUCGAGUGCAUGAAGCUGGAAUUACUAGUAAUCGUGGAUCAGCGUGCCACGGUGAAUGCGUUCCCGGGUCUUGUACACACCGCCCGUCACACCAUGGGAGUUGGUUCUACCUUAAGGCAAGGUUUAAAAUCCUUGACCACGGUAUAGUCAGCGACUGGGGU